GCCUCGAUGGCUCAGUUGGUUAGAGCGCAGGUCUCAUAAUCCUGAGGUCGCAAGUUCGAUCCUUGCUCGGGGCA
rnacentral:tRNA from 1 species